CCAGGCACCUAGAGGUUUUCCUGCGAGUAAGGCUGGAAUUGUGAUUAAAUUCAACAAUGAGACUGUUGGAAGUAUUAAAGAGAUCACUGAUAUCAUGGAACACAAUAUGGAUCGUGAAACAUUCUCGGUUGUUGUAAUGAACAACGGUGUUCCAAAAAGGCGUUUUAUAACUCCAGAGGCAGUUAGUGAAGAAAUGUCAAAUAGUUUAGUUUAGCAACACAGUCACAGCACAAUGAUGGCAGACAGUUACUUUAGGGUGUUUUCUUUUAGAAUGUUCGUUGUUCCUCUUGUAAUUGUAUGGUAACAAUUGAUGUGUUUUGAAUGUUUGGAAAUUGAGUUUUGA